rnacentral:rRNA from 1 species
UACGUAGGUGGCAAGCGUUGUCCGGAUUUACUGGGCGUAAAGGGCGUGCAGGCGGUCUGUUAAGUGCAGGGUGAAAGCUCCCGGCUCAACUGGGAGAGGUUCUUGCAUACUGGCGGACUUGAGGGGGGCAGAGGAAAGUGGAAUUCCCGGUGUAGUGGUGAUAUGCGUAGAUAUCGGGAGGAACACCAGUGGCGAAGGCGACUAGCUGGCCUGUUCUUGACGCUGAGGCGCGAAAGCUAGGGGAGCAAACGGG